AGUGGCCUGUCUGGCGCUGAGGCUGCUGGGAGACGCAGUUCUGUGUACUUUUCUACAUCGGCGAGGCUGUCCCUUCUACCUCCGCGGGGCUGGCGAUUAAUCUCUUCCUCUCCUGCUCUGCUUUUUCACAUUCGCCCGGGACCCUCAGAUCUUUCGGCCUCCCUGUGAACAAACCACGCAUGUCACCUUCUGCUGGAUUCUGGUGUUUUCUACUUUCUACAGGUUCCGCAUUUUGUGUGCUCCCGUGCUUCCAGGCCACCCACCUGGAGUCAUCAAGGACCCAGUGCCUGCAGUCAACCUGCCUUCCCAGCGUGCCCUGUUCCUAUGCCUUGGGCCUGGCCCCACGUCAGCUUUCACCUGGAAUUCUGCAAAGCCUCCUUGAGGUCUCCGAGCCUCAAUGCUCCACCUCUGCAGUCUCUUCUUUGCUGCAUCGAACGAGCAGAAUUGUAAACCUCAGUUCCGUGUCACUCCUCCCCUGCCUGAGACCCUUCGUGGUUCCCCAGGGUCCUCAGGACAAAGCCCAAGCCCCUUGGCCUGGCGAUCAGUGCCCUGUGCUCACCUCUCCAGCUCCAGCUCAGAUAGCUCUGCCCGCACAAGCUGGCUUUGCAGCAGAGGGCCACCUUCCUCCCCUUCAGCCUCCUCCUCCCAAGGAGCCCUUGGGAUGCCACCUCCCAGGAGGCUCUCCCCCCCACCGCCCCCGUCUCUACACCUGUCAUGAGCAGUUAUUGCCCUAGUUCUGCCUGACUAUGUCACGGUUGCAUCUUCUCUCUUCUCCGACCCCCAGCACAGUGCUUCUCGAGGGAGGUGCUUCCUCAAUAUUGUCGUCUCAUUUUAUGUUUGGAAAAUGAAAAAAAAAAAAGAAUGUUUUUUUCCUUUGUCAGAAAUUUAAGAAAUAUAGGAAAGCAAAAAAAAAAAAAAAAAAAGGAAUAAUGUGUUUUCACUAACCUGACCUAGUCCCCGUGAUCAUUUUUGCUUGUUUCUACUUCUUUCUUUUUUUCUUUUUUGGCUGUAGCCAGGGCAUGCAGAAGUCCCCAGGCCAAGGACCAAACCUACACCACAGCAGUGACAAGAUCAGAUCCUCGAUCCACUGCCCCACCAAGGAACUCCUAUUUCCACUGCUUUCUAGGUCAUUUAAAAACAUUUCACAGGGGAGUUCCCAUCGUGACUCAGUCGUUAACGAAUCCGACUAGGAACCAAAGGUCACGGGUUCGAUCCCUGCCCUUGCUCACUGGGUUAAGG
rnacentral:lncRNA from 1 species